UUAGAUGACUUUACAGAGCCAAUCUNACAAAUCUUGGUGCCCAUCUCAUGCUUUCUAUAGGAUAGAACUAACAAUUUUGGAAAAAUUUAAUGCAGUAGAUUCGAUUUUUGGUUCUUUGGGUGAAGAUCCAUUAAAGAAAGAGCUCAUUGAAACUCCUGCUCGCUUUGUGAAGUAGUUGAUUAAGUUUAGAAGCUAAAUUUGAUCUUGUCUUGGCAUAUAGUAUCUUCAAUUUCUUCCCAAGUAUGUGAAUUUCUUUUACUUUGGUAAGUGAAGAUCUUAUAGCUUCGUGAAUAAGAACUUUUGGCUUCAAGAAGUGUUGUAUGUUGAACUGGAGAUGUAAUUUCCUGCUUACACUAAUAUCAGAAUACAUGGAAGUCAAAUUAACAAAAGGCUUUGUUAUGUGGUUAAGAAUGACAUCUGAUAUAAAUAAAUUACUCAAAUAAAGAAGUUCAAUGAGCACUUGAAACGACAUUAAAAACUUUAAGAUUGAUACAGUAUUGGUAUGGAGUUUGGUUUAAGGUUUCACUGCAAAAAGGGAUUUGGUGAUGUUGCUUCUAGGAUUUGCAGUAAAAUUGGCACGAGAAGCAAAGGAAGUUGCUGUAAAUGUCUAUGUUGCAAUGCGAUAUUGGCAUCCACUGACUGAGGAACCCAUUCAACAGGCAUGUUACAAGAAUUGAAACAACAUACGCUCACAUGUGCUCAUUCUUUAUUUAUAUUUCUCUACACUGGGAGCAUUCUAAAUAGAAUCUAUGUUUUCUUCACUUACAGAUGGUGUUUUGUAGGAAACUAUUAACAUUUUUUAUUGUUGAUAUAAGUGAACGAAAAAAAGAAUAUGCAUCAAUCUUUUGAAGAGAGCUGGACAUUACAUGACAUUGCAGGUACAAAAAUAAAGCAGCUACAUCUCAGUCUCCAGUUUAUCGUUGUUGGUGCAAAGCUUUUGUCGUGUUUGCUGCAGGGGGAGGCUGCAUCCUUUACAGAUAGAUAUGGACUAGCGAUUAGCCUUCCGUUGGCAACUACUACUUUACUAAAUAAGCAAAUUCAAUAUCGGUAUUCUGAUGGAGUAGGUAGUUACUAAUAUUUAGAAAGGGUGACUUUGUUUUAUGUGUUCUAAAUACACAUGAUGUCUUAAAUUUUAAUUUUUUAGUGCGUUUCUUUGUGUUGUAAUAUUAGCUUUUGAAAUGAUCAUCUUGUUGGAUAGAGCAUUAUCUAGGCAAUACUACACUCUCAAGACUCUUGAAUAAUGCAAUAAAUCUUCAACAAUUUCUCUCUCUCUCUCUUAACAUCUACAAUUUCUACAUUAAU
rnacentral:lncRNA from 1 species